rnacentral:rRNA from 1 species
UACGGGAGGCAGCAGUGGGGAAUAUUGCACAAUGGGCGCAAGCCUGAUGCAGCCAUGCCGCGUGUAUGAAGAAGGCCUUCGGGUUGUAAAGUACUUUCAGUCGUGAGGAAGGUGUUAAGGUUAAUAACCUUAGCAAUUGACGUUAGCGACAGAAGAAGCACCGGCUAACUCCGUGCCAGCAGCCGCGGUAAUACGGAGGGUGCGAGCGUUAAUCGGAAUUACUGGGCGUAAAGGGCACGCAGGCGGUUAAUUAAGUUGGAUGUGAAAUCCCCGGGCUUAACCUGGGAAUGGCAUUCAAGACUGGUUAGCUAGAGUCUUGUAGAGGGGGUAGAAUUCCAUGUGUAGCGGUGAAAUGCGUAGAGAUGUGGAGGAAUACCGGUGGCGAAGGCGGCCCCUGGACAAGACUGACGCUCAUGUGCGAAAGCGUGGGGAGCAAACAGGGAUUAGAUA